rnacentral:rRNA from 1 species
UACAGAGGUCUCAAGCGUUGUUCGGAUUCAUUGGGCGUAAAGGGUGUGUAGGUGGCGCGCUAAGUCGGGUGUGAAAUUUCGGAGCUUAACUCCGAAACUGCAUUCGAUACUGGCGUGCUUGAGGACUGGAGAGGAGACUGGAAUUCAUGGUGUAGCAGUGAAAUGCGUAGAUAUCAAGAGGAACACCUGAGGCGAAGGCGGGUUGCUAGGCUGACACUGACGCUGAGUGCGCGAAAGCCAGGGGAGCAAACGGG